UACGAAGGGGGCUAGCGUUGUUCGGAAUCACUGGGCGUAAAGCGCACGUAGGCGGGUCGUUAAGUCGGAGGUGAAAUCCCAAGGCUCAACCUUGGAACUGCCUUCGAUACUGGCGAUCUUCGAGUCCGGGAGAGGUGAGUGGAACUCCGAGUGUAGAGGUGAAAUUCGUAGAUAUUCGGAGGAACACCAGUGGCGAAGGCGGCUCACUGGCCCGGUACUGACGCUGAGGUGCGAAAGCGUGGGGAGCAAACAGG
rnacentral:rRNA from 1 species